GGUUUAUGAAGAUGGAAUGGAUGGCACUUCAUGCCCACACAAAUCAUGCUGUUUUUGCCCAGCUGUACUCUCCUUUAAGGUCAUACAGCAUAUUUGACAAUAAUCGCCAGGAUCCCACAGGGCUGACAGCU
rnacentral:sRNA from 1 species